ensembl:rRNA 5S_rRNA 5S ribosomal RNA
UGCCAGCAGCGUACCACCCUGCAUCCCACUGCUGCCUUUCCUCUGAAGCUAAGCAGGGUUGGUCCUGGUCAGUCACUGGAUGGGAGACCAGGUGGUGUUGGAGGGCUGGUAG